rnacentral:rRNA from 1 species
GACAGAGGGUGCAAACGUUGUUCGGAAUUACUGGGCGUAAAGCGUGUGUAGGCGGUUUGGUAAGUCGGAUGUGAAAUCCCCGGGCUUAACCUGGGAACCGCAUUUGUGACUGCAUAGCUGGAGUACGGCAGAGGGGGAUGGAAUUCCGCGUGUAGCAGUGAAAUGCGUAGAUAUGCGGAGGAACACCGAUGGCGAAGGCAGUCCCCUGGGCCUGUACUGACGCUCAUGCACGAAAGCGUGGGGAGCAAACAGG